CCUAUAUCUCAUCCGCCGCCGCCGCCGCCGCCCCAUGGGCUCAAUGCCGUCACUGCCGCUGGACUCGACACCACCUCCGCCGCCUGGACUAGACCGGUGACGGCUCUCCCCAGCAUCCUCUCCUCCGGACGGCAGGACCAGAUUGGAUAAUGCCAAAAGCCCGAAAGGCCUGCGGUGGACAUUGUCAUUACCUGAAGAUAGCUGACUGAAUAUUGUGACAUCUCUUGGAACAUCAAACCAGGCAGUGUUGGAGAAGAUGGCGUCCCAGAUUUGGUAGUAGAGAUUGUGAAGAGCAAUAUGGAUAUCUACCUUACUGAGAGGGAAUGUAGGUGUAAUACAUAGUGCUUAUUAUGAUUCAAAAGAAGGAUAAUUGAGUUGCAGCUGAAUUCUCCGGUGGGAUCAAGCAGCAAAUAAAAAUAGAAGAUUUUACUUAGCAAUACAUGUAGUUUGUAGUUUACAGUGAUAGAUUGAAAAUUGUAAUACCAUUCGCAAGAACUCUUUCCUUGGUCGAAUUGAUGCAAAUGCUAUGGUGUAAUAUUUUCCAUAGUUGUGUUCUCUAUAGUCAAAUUGAUAUGAAUGAUAUGUUGUUGCACCAAUAUAUUGGUAUUUUUUUAAUUGUAAUGCAUAUGUAUCCUACACUCUUGUAUAUUUAUAAUAAAUAUAUUGAUGUUUUUUA